AGUCUUUUUUCCAGACAUGAAAAACAUAUUUAGUUGGUUUUGGUGAAAAUCUCAUAGCGUUCUGCCAAUGAUGUGUCUAUGUGGUUGAGAGGCAGUAGGCCUAUGGGUAUGAUGUGCCUAGGUGGUUGAGAGGCAGUAGGCCUAUAGGUAUGAUGUGUCUAGGUGGUUGAGAGGCAGUAGGCCUAUGGGUAUGAUGUGUCUAGGUGGUUGAGAGGCAGUAGGCCUAUGGGUAUGAUGUGUCUAGGUGGUUGAGAGGCAGUAGGCCUAUGGGUAUGAUGUGUCUAGGUGGUUGGUUGAGAGGCAGUAGGCCUAUGGGUAUGAUGUGUCUAGGUGGUUGAGAGGCAGUAAGCCUAUGGGUAUGAUGUGUCUAGG